ACAGUAGACUGGGAAAAAGAGUCCUGAGGGCAAAAAGAAAGAAGAUCUACCUGGUGGUGGCAGAACAAAAAGAUUAUACAACCAUGCAAGAAGAAUGUUAUUUAAGAGAAUCCUCAAAGGCCACUCUAAGGAUUGCUGCUGAGAAUAAAGCGUCUGAGAUGGAUAAUGUUCUUACAACAAAAGAGUUUAAAAUAAAAGGUUCAGUCUUGCAAGAUGUGAAUAUAAGAAGCUAUUUUCAACUGAAAAGUCCAUGGAAGAGAUUUCGGAACAAAGAGGAGAAAAU